ensembl:snoRNA small nucleolar RNA, H/ACA box 51
CACCUCCCCACGCUUACCGCGGGCAGCCGCCCCCACGGCUGCCCGUACAGGACGGGGAGGCAGAGCAGCGCCUCGGUACACCCCAGCCUGGGCGGCGGUGCCCCGGCUGGAUUGUGAGCGGGGGGACACGU